GCUGGCGGCGUGCCUAAUACAUGCAAGUCGAGCGGACCGACGGGAGCUUGCUCCCUUAGGUCAGCGGCGGACGGGUGAGUAACACGUGGGUAACCUGCCUGUAAGACUGGGAUAACUCCGGGAAACCGGGGCUAAUACCGGAUGCUUGAUUGAACCGCAUGGUUCAAUCAUAAAAGGUGGCUUUUAGCUACCACUUACAGAUGGACCCGCGGCGCAUUAGCUAGUUGGUGAGGUAACGGCUCACCAAGGCGACGAUGCGUAGCCGACCUGAGAGGGUGAUCGGCCACACUGGGACUGAGACACGGCCCAGACUCCUACGGGAGGCAGCAGUAGGGAAUCUUCCGCAAUGGACGAAAGUCUGACGGAGCAACGCCGCGUGAGUGAUGAAGGUUUUCGGAUCGUAAAACUCUGUUGUUAGGGAAGAACAAGUACCGUUCGAAUAGGGCGGUACCUUGACGGUACCUAACCAGAAAGCCACGGCUAACUACGUGCCAGCAGCCGCGGUAAUACGUAGGUGGCAAGCGUUGUCCGGAAUUAUUGGGCGUAAAGCGCGCGCAGGCGGUUUCUUAAGUCUGAUGUGAAAGCCCCCGGCUCAACCGGGGAGGGUCAUUGGAAACUGGGGAACUUGAGUGCAGAAGAGGAGAGUGGAAUUCCACGUGUAGCGGUGAAAUGCGUAGAGAUGUGGAGGAACACCAGUGGCGAAGGCGACUCUCUGGUCUGUAACUGACGCUGAGGCGCGAAAGCGUGGGGAGCGAACAGGAUUAGAUACCCUGGUAGUCCACGCCGUAAACGAUGAGUGCUAAGUGUUAGAGGGUUUCCGCCCUUUAGUGCUGCAGCAAAC
rnacentral:rRNA from 2 species